GAUAGUGAACCAGUACCGUGAGGGAAAGGCGAAAAGAACCCCGGCGAGGGGAGUGAAAAAGAACCUGAAACCGUGUACGUACAAGCAGUGGGAGCCCCACCACUAAGCCAGUGGUGAACUCCACAUCCGCAUCCUUUGCUGAGGAUACGGUUAACGGAGCGAAAGCGACGUUCAACCGCAAAACAAGCAGAGGGGGCUUAGUGGUGGGGUGACUGCGUACCUUUUGUAUAAUGGGUCAGCGACUUAUAUUCUGUAGCAAGGUUAACCGUAUAGGGGAGCCGGAGGGAAACCGAGUCUUAAUUGGGCGUUAAGUUGCAGGGUAUAGACCCGAAACCCGGUGAUCUAGCCAUGGGCAGGUUGAAGGUUGGGUAACACUAACUGGAGGACCGAACCGACUAAUGUUGAAAAAUUAGCGGAUGACCUGUGGCUGGGGGUGAAAGGCCAAUCAAACCGGGAGAUAGCUGGUUCUCCCCGAAAGCUAUUUAGGUAGCGCCUCGUGAAUUCAUCUCCGGGGGUAGAGCACUGUUUCGGCUAGGGGGCCAUCCCGGCUUACCAACCCGAUGCAAACUGCGAAUACCGGAGAAUGUUAUCACGGGAGACACACGGCGGGUGCUAACGUCCGUCGUGAAGAGGGAAACAACCCAGACCGCCAGCUAAGGUCCCAAAGUCAUGGUUAAGUGGGAAACGAUGUGGGAAGGCCCAGACAGCCAGGAUGUUGGCUUAGAAGCAGCCAUCAUUUAAAGAAAGCGUAAUAGCUCACUGGUCGAGUCGGCCUGCGCGGAAGAUGUAACGGGGCUAAACCAUGCACCGAAGCUGCGGCAGCGAACGUAUCACCCAAGACAACUUUACGGAGUUGACGAUUGACGGAGCGAAGCGACGUCAAAGCGUUCAUUAAAGUCGAGUUGGCUUAGGGAUACGUUCGUUGGGUAGGGGAGCGUUCUGUAAGCCUGUGAAGGUGUGUCGUGAGGCAUGCUGGAGGUAUCAGAAGUGCGAAUGCUGACAUAAGUAACGAUAAAGCGGGUGAAAAGCCCGCUCGCCGGAAGACCAAGGGUUCCUGUCCAACGUUAAUCGGGGCAGGGUGAGUCGACCCCUAAGGCGAGGCCGAAAGGCGUAGUCGAUGGGAAACGGGUUAAUAUUCCCGUACUUGGUGUUACUGCGAAGGGGGGACGGAGAAGGCUAUGUUGGCCGGGCGACGGUUGUCCCGGUUUAAGCGUGUAGGUGUGUGUUCCAGGUAAAUCCGGUU
rnacentral:rRNA from 1 species